ensembl:misc_RNA 7SK 7SK RNA
GGAAGUGAGGGUAAUCUGGCUGCAACAUCUGUCACCCCAUCAAUUGCCAGGGUUGAUUUGGCUGAUCUGGCUGGCUAGGCGAGUGUUCCCUUCCUCCCUCCCCACUCCAUGUGCGUCCCUCCCAAAGCUGCACGCUCAGUCAAAGAGGACGACCAUCCUCGAUAGAGGAGGACCAGUUUUCGGUCAAGGGUAUAUGAGUAGCUACGCUCCCCUGCUGGAACCUCCAAACAAGCUCUCAAGAGUGGAAGAGAGCCAUUAGCAAAAUUCCGCAGGAAAGACAGCACACGGAGGAACAGUGGUUCCU